UAAUAUACUAGUUUAGUUUGGAGUGAAUGCCUUGGAAGAAAAAUAUAGGCGCGGACAAUCGCGAAAGUGUUGACACGAGGAAAUCCUGUGACGUUAACCAACCUAAAAUGGGAAACCGGGGCUAAAAAGCCCACUGCGUAGUCAGUAUCAAGGGGAAGUGAAACAUCUUAGUACCCUGUAGACCAAAUCAACCGAGAUAUCGUUAGUAGUGGUGAGCGAAAGCGAUAAAAAGGCAAAACGAUAUUAUUUAUAUAAAGAAUGAAAAGAAUUUUUAUUUUACAAUAAAAAUUCUACCCUAGAAGGUGUUAGUCCUGUAAUUCUUUUUAAUUCGUGAAAUUAAGACAAGGCAAGUUUACCUUGUUUGAGUAUUGGGGGACCACCCUCAAAGCCUAUAAUUAUUUUUCUUACCGAUAGUGAACAAGUACCGUGAGGGAAAGGUGAAAAAGAAGUUGUGACAGUGCAAAGAUCCUGAAAUUCCAUAUUUGAGUCGAAGCUAUAAAAAGCAACGGCAUACCUUUUGUAUAAUGGGCAAGUGAAUCUUAAUAAAAGGCAAGCUUAAGUUAAUUAAAAACGUAGGCGAAGAUAAAUCGAGUCUUGUAUGGCGUUUUAAAGUCGUUUGUUAAGUACCCGAAACCGUCUGAUCUAAGCUUGAGCAGGCUGAUAUUGUAGUGGCAACAUUCUUUGGAGGGCCGAACCCGUGUAUGUGGCAAAAUACUGGGAUGACUUGAGUUUAGGGGUGAAAGGCCAAUCAAAGUCGGUGAUAGCUGGAUUUCUGCGAAAUCUAUUGAAGUAGAGCGUCUUAAAUAGUAAAUCUGGGGUAGAGCACUGUAUAAGCAAGGGGGAAAUUUUUUCUUACUAAACUUUGGCAAACUCCGAAUACAGAUUUUUCAUUUAGGGCAGACAGAGUAUGUAUGCUAAGAUUCAUACUCAAGAGGGAAACAGCCCAGACUGAAGGCUAAGGUCCGUAAAAUAGUUUCAGUGGUAAAGGUGACUUUUGCUCUUAGACCGUCAGGAGGUAGGCUUGGAAGCAGCCAUCCUUUUAAGAUAGCGUAACAGCUCACUGACCUAGAGUAAAAGUCCCGCCAAUUUUGAGGGCUUAAAAUUAUUACCGAAGCUUCAGACAAAUUUUUUUGUGGUAGCAGAACAUUCCGUAGGUUGUAGAAGUUUUGACGUAAGUUAAUAUCAAGAUAUCGGAAGUGAGAAUACUUGCAUAAGUAGCAUAAAACAAUGAAAUUAAAGCAUUGUGGCCGUAAGUCCAAGGUUUACGAUCUUAAGUAAAACUGGGUCGUGAGAGGGUAAUACCUCGAUUUAAAACGGUCCCUAAGCUGUUAAGCCAAGGCUUGCGGUAAUGGGUAAGAUUAAACUGUUUAAAGUUGCUGACGAAAAAUUCACCUUAUUCUUGAAUAUGUCAAGGGUGAGUUAUUUUUUCCAAGAAAAAGGCACUUUAUUUAUACCGUACCUUAAACCGCCUCAGGUGGACGGGUGGAGAACACUAAGGCCUUGAGAAAACCCUAUUGAAGGAACUCGGCAAAAUGACUCUGUAACUUCGGAAUAAGGAGUAAAGACAUGUAGCGUAAGCUUUUGUCUUUGUCACAAAAUCGGGGGUGGCGGCUGUUUAUUAAAAACACAGGUCUCUGCUAACUCGUAAGAGGAUGUAUAGGGACUGACACCUGCCCGGUGCCGGUAGGUGAAGCUUUGAUGUUUACGCAUUGAAGUCAAACCCCGGUAAACGGCGGCUGUAACUAUGACGGUCCUAAGGUAGCGAAAUUCCUUGUCGGGUAAGUUCCGACCCGGUAACUAUGACGGUCCUAAGGUAGCGAAAUUCCUUGUCGGGUAAGUUCCGACCCGCAUGAAUGGUGUAACGACUUCCCCGCUGUCUCCAAUAGGGACUCAGUGAAAUUACAUAGGUCGUGAAGAUGCGGCCAUCCUGCAGCUGGACGGAAAGACCCCGUGCACCUUUACUAUAAGCAAAUAUUGUAAGUCAAAAACUCUAGUGUAGAAUAGGUGGGAGCUUAUGAUUUUUUUGUUAGAGAUUGAUUAGGCAAUAGUGAAAUACCACCCUGAGAUUUGUUGUCUUACUAACUAAGGGACAGUGUUUGCUGGGUAGUUUGACUGGGGCGGUCGCCUCCUAAAGAGUAACGGAGGCAUACAAAGGUAGGUUCAUCUCCUUAUAAGGGGAAUCGAGUAUAAUGAUAUAAGCCUGCUUGACUGAAAGAAAGACAUUUCGAUCAGAGACGCAAGUCGGUCAUAAUGAUCCGGUGGUUCUUUGUGGAAAGGCUAUCGCGCAAUGGAUAAAAGGUACGCCGGGGAUAACAGGCUAAUGAUCCUCUAGAGCUCCUAUCGACGGGUUCGUUUGGCACCUCGAUGUCGACUCAUCACAUCCUGGAGCUGGAAAAGGUUCCAAGGGUUCGGCUGUUCGCCGACGAAAGUGGUACGUGAGUUGGGUUUAGAACGUCGUGAGACAGUUUGGUCCCUAUCUUCUGUGGGUGUUUGAAAAUUCCGAGGACUAGACCUUAGUACGAGAGGACCGGGAAAACUCGAUCCCUUGUGUUCCGGUUGUUCCCGAAGGGGCAUCGCCGGGUAGCUACAUCGAGAAGAGAUAAUCGACCAUUAGGCGAGAAACUUCCCUCUAGUAAAAUUUUCGUAAUGGGGGUGGAAGAUUACCACUUAGAUAGGCGGGGUGUGUAAUAGCCGUGAGGUUUUCAGCUGACCCGUACUAAUCCCUAAAAAAUAA
rnacentral:rRNA from 1 species